UUAAUGAGAGAGAUCUAGCUUGCUCUAUGGGAUCAGAGAUGCUAUGAUCUGGUGUAAUUCAGUGAUUUGGGGUAUAGACGAGAUUUGGAGUUGUAGUGUUAUGUUAGUUCGGAUGGUGGCUUAAUAUAACACUCCUCACUUAUAAUUCUUCUCGUUAUUGAUCGCACCAAUCAUUUCCCGUAUAAAGAGCAGAACGAGAUGAGAAUAUAUUAGGGAUGAGAACGUAUGAAUAAGUACCAAGUGUGUACGAGUGGGAGAUGUUAGGAUUCGUCCACAUUGGGGCUUAUCUAAAAUAUUUCUUAUCCAUAUGGGAUAAGAAAUAAAUAUUUGUAAUUAUCUGUUAUAUUUCUAAUCCACGUGGGAUAAGAAAUAAAUGUAACAGAUAAAUCCUAAUCUGUUUAAAUCUCUAUCUAUGUGAGAUUUAGUCAGAAUAUGAUUAAGAUAAAUGUCUCCUUUAUGGCNAAAAAAAAAAAAAAAAAAAAAAAAAAAAAAAAGAAUCACCUCUCCACAAAAAUUCUCUCUCUCUUGAGUUCGCUCUAGGGCACCAUCAUAAUCCCUAGGGAUUUGGGCGGUGCGCGGCGAUAUACUCUAGUAGCCGGAUUGCAACGAGUAAGAACAACGUGCAACAAAUUGAGACAGAAUGUUGGCGGAUCAACGAGUUCGUAAAACAAGACGAGAUUCGAUCCUAGUAAUCGUAAUACAUUCCGCAACAAAAAAAGGUAUGUAAAAAUCUAUGUGAUUUUUGCGAACUAUUUAUUUGGAUAUUUAAUUAUUUUAUCUAACAUGUGACAAACUCAAGUGAUGAAUGAGUGCUAGGAAGACAAAAUUUGUGAUGUUUUAAAAUUUGUGAUGAAAUUUUUUAUGUUUUGAAAUUUGUGAUAAAGAAUAUGUUUAAAAUUUUUUUCUCAGUUUGAUACAAU
rnacentral:lncRNA from 1 species